rnacentral:lncRNA from 1 species
GUGGAUCCCCCAAAACUUCUAGCAUAACAAAGCAGGAUUUGCUGACCUGACCGACCGGGCUCCAGUAAUCUGGGCACAUUGCUUCCCAGUGAAUGCACUGCUCCAUCCACUCCUGGACAGAUAAGUGCCCGGGAGACAGUCAUGGGCUGACUGGACUUGAAUGUCACUGGAAAAGGAAGAACUCAAACCAGCCACCAACAGGACCAGAGUGCCAGGUUUCCUGGAAACAUCACCCAAACCCAAAAAUUUCUCAGAAUUUUCAGAGGCGCCAAAGGACUGUUUGCAUUUCAAUGGGUAUGUUCUGAAAGGCCUGGAAAGUUCUUAGCUUUGCUUUCUCACUGGAAGGCAAGACCCACUGCCAUGAAGAAGAGACAGCACCCUUGGAGUAGCUUCAUGAAAAGCCAAGAAAAGGGACCUCUGGGACAUUUUAAUUGUUUAAUUCUUGGCUACAGAGACAAGACGAAGGGGAUCAGGCCAUGACAGAAUGUUACUGAGAAUGGAUCCAAGACUAUGAGAUCAGUGCCGGUGAGAUAGCUCAUUGGGUAACUGUGCUUGGUGCUCAAACCUGACAGUCUGAAACCCGCCCCAGAAACCCACAGGAAGAUGGAGAGAAGAGAACAACUGUACAGCGCUUUCCUCUGACUUCUGCAUGUGAAUGGUGCUACACACCCACAUAACAUGUAAAUACACUCAACAAUAAUAACUAGAAUUUAAUAAGAGUCCAGACCACAGCAGUAUCAUGAAGUUUGAUUGUACUGAAAAGACUCAGUAGUGGAGCUCCAGUGGAAAUGUCACUACCUUUAAUACUGGAAUGACUCCCAUGGGACAGUGUGUUAUCAGGUGGCCAUACCCAUGGUGCUGGGGUAAAAAGAAUGUUGUCUGUUGCAGCAAGGGUCAGAGUAGGAGAAGAAUAGGUUGUGCUUUCUCCUCUCGGCACAUUUUCAUGCAGCAGAGGUUUAACCGGAUCUGCUUGACAUCUGGCGAACUUGGCAUUUCCUGUGUCACAAAACAAAUUAAAUGCUAUCAACAUAGUCAGCCAAUGUGAUGACCGUCUUAACAUCAAGAAAAAUCAAGAUUCCUAUGGACCAUUGUUGCGGGAAAUAUUAAAAAAUGAACCCAUCAGUUCUCCAUGGGGCCGGAUCACACUCCUGCACUCUUGCAGCUGCCGUCAACUCUCUCCAUCUAGCCCCUACAGCAUCUGGCUCACUUGCCUCAGGAGCAACUAGUUCUUCCUCAGCGUAAAUUCCACAUUCCGGUAACUAAAUGGAACCACCAACCUCAAGGUUGGAUAACACAAUACCCACUAACCUGGUAAAAUCAGGACUCUUAAAGCUUAAUUAACUAAUCAGAUUUAUAUAUCAACAAUAUCAUAAUUUAUAAGAUGCCAACACAACAACUUCAGAGUCAAUUGACAAUGACAAAAGCUUUAUCCUAAUUAAUCUAACCUUCCAAUACCAUGACUACUUCUGGUUGGUAAAUGCCACUUGGGUUCAUGUCUGCAACCAUCUUCCUUCUCCUUUCCUCUUCCUCUUCCUCUCUCCCCUGAGACACUCUGUCUCUGCAACUCUUAGCAAUGCCUCCCUUUUGCCUGUUCAAUCACAGGCCUCCUCUGCACUAAUGUAAUUGGACAAGGAAAAUCCUGCAACAUAUCACCCCUUCUGUUUAAUUAAAUUAAAAAAAAACACUUUCUUUCAAAAUAAACUUUGAGCACAGCUAUUAUCAUUUUGUAAUUUAUAUGGUAUAAGAUAGACCUAACACCCAGUCUAACAUUUUCGCCAAUAAAAUUGAACACUGCCCUCUAUCCUAACUUAAAAAUUCUGUACCUGGCUGUGUCCCAGCUUCAGAUAGAAUGCCAUCUGAAAACCAUCCUCUCAAAUCUAUUCUCUCAAAGUAAAUAGCCUGGGUUGGCUAAUGAGACUAUAAGUCUUCAACCCCAUCAGAAAUUCAAGAAUGACUGAUGUUAACUGAAAAUAUAUAGGAAGCCUAACACAGCUUCCAAAACUUAGCCAAUUUAUAGAGACCGCUGAUCACCUGGGCAGUCCCUUACUUCAGAAUGUUGAAGCAUUGGUCUUCAGCCUCUGGUACAGAGCCAUCUAAUAGACCUUAGAGAAACAGGAUUUUAGGACUAGCCUAUUUUGUCUUGGCAGGACCAAACUGUCCUCACCUAUAAUUGUGUUCUCUCUUUGGGCAGUAUUAUGUCUGUAGAUGAAAUGAGUCCAUUCUUGCCUAGUGGCUGUCUUUCCACAACUGGAGUAACUCAUAGAUGCUCAAUUUCUUCUUUGAAUCCAAGACAGGGAAAGCUGUCAGGAUCAGACUAGUCUCAACAACAAGUGAAUAAAUAACAUUAAAUGUCACAUUCUGUGGAUUUUUGACAUUUUUGAAAACCAACUAUCUAUGUAAAGUAAUCUGGACAGUUGUCCAUUAACUACUCUCAACUAUUUCGGAUUAAAAUAUCUGAAAAUACUCUAACAAAACUCAGAGCCAUGAAUUUGCCAUUUGGCCCUAAACUCACAGGCUUAAACAUCUCAGAUCAGAUUAAAAUAACAGUUAUAGAAGGACUGAGUCUAAUCCUGUAUUUACAAAAUUUUGUAUUUAUAGAAGAAAUUUAUACCAAUGAAACCCUUGAUUUUGCAUCAAAAUAAAUUAUGUACCAGUUAAGAAAUUAUGACUUCAGCUUAGUAACAAUUAAAGAGUUUCUACC